AUAUCUACUAUUAGGUUUGUUAUUAUAUGCAGUUGAUAAUACACCAACUUUUGACGUUGCUAACACGUUUUC
rnacentral:sRNA from 1 species